rnacentral:rRNA from 1 species
AGAGACAGCAGUCGCCACGGGAAUACGUAGGGUGCGAGCGUUAAUCGGAAUUACUGGGCGUAAAGCGUGCGCAGGCGGUUUUAUAAGACAGAUGUGAAAUCCCCGGGCUCAACCUGGGACCUGCAUUUGUGACUGUAUAGCUAGAGUACGGUAGAGGGGGAUGGAAUUCCGCGUGUAGCAGUGAAAUGCGUAGAUAUGCGGAGGAACACCGAUGGCGAAGGCAAUCCCCUGGACCUGUACUGACGCUCAUGCACGAAAGCGUGGGGAGCAAACAGGAUUAGAUACCCCCGUAGUCCCUGUCUCUUAUAC